UCUCUCUCUCUCCAUAAUUAAUUGAUCAAACCUAAUUUCUUUACAUUGAUAAUUUUUGUGUUAUUAGUAUCAUUUUUAUAUGCUAAUUAGUUGUUUGAUUGAUGAAAUGCCUGAACGAAUUAGUUGUUUGAUGAAAUGCUAAUUAGUUGUUUUAUAUGCUAAUUUCUCUAUAGAUCUGGUCCUAUUAACUUAGAAACAAUUAUUUCGCAUAAUUACAGAGUUGCCAUAAUUUUUCUGCAAACAUCGAUUUCUUUCAAUCAAUGUUUGUUGUUGUUUUUUUUAAAUUUUGUGUUCAGUCAUUAAAUUGAUGUUGUGCUUCCGAUUUAACAGACUAUGCAAGAAAUAGUACAACAAGAAAAGCUAAAAAACCAAGACCAACUAAAACGACAGCAAAUAAUACUACAUCACCUAUUGAAACGAUAGCAACAACUAAUCCAGAAGGUAUUUUUUGGAUAUUAUUUUGAAGUUUGUACCUCAACCAUUCAUAAGGCAUCUCCAACGCAUGAGGCAAAUGGAGAGAAUUAGACAUUUUGCCUAUUGAAGCUGCAUUUCUAGGGCUCCAACGCAUGAGGCAAAUGGUGAGGCAUUUUGACCAUUCUCGUUUUGGCUCUCCAUAGGUAGCCAGCCUCAAUUGCUAGGCAAAGUGUGUUCCCGUCAACUCAGAUAAAAAAAUGGCUUCAUCUUCUACUAAUAAUAGGAACAUAAGAUUAAAGCCAAGAUUGUGUAAUUGUGGAAGAACAGCUUCCAUGCAUAUUAUACGAACCAAUAAGAAUGGAAAUGAAGGACGUGUCUUUUUUGUUUGCCCAACAAAAUAUAUUGCGAACGAACACUACAAUUACUUCAGGUUCGCAGAUGACGACGACGACGCUACCUCCACAAUCCGUGCCAAUGCUGGACUUCGGAUAGAUUCAAGAAUAGAAGAAAUUAAUGAUCUAAGGAGAAGGUUUGGUGAGAUGGACAAUGCAAUUCAUGAGCAUGAUAAAAGGCUUCAAAUGAUGGACAAGAUUUUCAAGGCAAUGACUUAUUGUAUUUUGUGUAUUUUUGUACUUUAUCAUAUAAAUGACUAAGUUGUUAGGUUUUGGAACAUGCUACGAAUGUAAUCUACUUUUCUACUUGUUUUGUAUUUUUUUGUUGGUGCUUAAAAAUCUGAUGGUUUGAAAAAACAGGUGUAUUGAUUAACAAUGUGUUGAAUGAAUAGGUGCUUAACAGUGUAUUUUUUUGGACAAUGGUUGAACAGGUUGAUUAACAAUGUGUUGAAUGAACAGGUUGAACAGGUUGAAGGUGUA